GGAAAGGCGCGCGAUACAGGGUGACAGCCCCGUACACAAAAAUGCACAUGCUGUGAGCUCGAUGAGUAGGGCGGGACACGUGGUAUCCUGUCUGAAUAUGGGGGGACCAUCCUCCAAGGCUAAAUACUCCUGACUGACCGAUAGUGAACCAGUACCGUGAGGGAAAGGCGAAAAGAACCCCGGCGAGGGGAGUGAAAAAGAACCUGAAACCGUGUACGUACAAGCAGUGGGAGCACGCUUAGGCGUGUGACUGCGUACCUUUUGUAUAAUGGGUCAGCGACUUAUAUUCUGUAGCAAGGUUAACCGAAUAGGGGAGCCGAAGGGAAACCGAGUCUUAACUGGGCGUUAAGUUGCAGGGUAUAGACCCGAAACCCGGUGAUCUAGCCAUGGGCAGGUUGAAGGUUGGGUAACACUAACUGGAGGACCGAACCGACUAAUGUUGAAAAAUUAGCGGAUGACUUGUGGCUGGGGGUGAAAGGCCAAUCAAACCGGGAGAUAGCUGGUUCUCCCCGAAAGCUAUUUAGGUAGCGCCUCGUGAAUUCAUCUCCGGGGGUAGAGCACUGUUUCGGCAAGGGGGUCAUCCCGACUUACCAACCCGAUGCAAACUGCGAAUACCGGAGAAUGUUAUCACGGGAGACACACGGCGGGUGCUAACGUCCGUCGUGAAGAGGGAAACAACCCAGACCGCCAGCUAAGGUCCCAAAGUCAUGGUUAAGUGGGAAACGAUGUGGGAAGGCCCAGACAGCCAGGAUGUUGGCUUAGAAGCAGCCAUCAUUUAAAGAAAGCGUAAUAGCUCACUGGUCGAGUCGGCCUGCGCGGAAGAUGUAACGGGGCUAAACCAUGCACCGAAGCUGCGGCAGCGACGCUGAUGCGUUGUUGGGUAGGGGAGCGUUCUGUAAGCCUGCGAAGGUGUGC
rnacentral:rRNA from 1 species